GAGCGCGUAGCUCAGUCGGUAGAGCAUCUGACUUUUAAUCAGAGGGUCCCGGGUUCGAGUCCCGGCGCGCUCACCA
rnacentral:tRNA from 1 species